AGACUAAAGGGGUGCUAUCCAUUUUGUGCGGCUCAGGUACAGAUCCGUUGGAACACGGUAUCAUAGAGGGUGAGAAUCCCGUCCAUGACCUGAGUGAAUCCGUGCAUUAUUGCGUUGCGCUUCCGAAGAGUCGGGUUGUUUGGGAAUGCAGCCCAAAAUGGGUGGUAAACUUCAUCUAAGGCUAAAUAUAGGCACGAGACCGAUAGCGAACAAGUACCGUGAGGGAAAGAUGAAAAGCACUUUGAAAAGAGAGUCAAAAAGUACGUGAAACCGUUAAGUGGGAAACAAAUAGGGCUAGCAUUUGUGCAGGCCACAAUCAGCCGGACGCUUUUGCAGAUGUAGUAGUGGUAUUUAUUUUUGGAGAGCCUCUCGAGCCUGCUUGCAGGAUGCCGAGGAGCCUCACGCUAUUGCAAAACAUUUUCUGUAAAGGUGCAAAGCCGGUGCACUUGUGGUCCGUAUCAGGCCAACAUCAGUUCGGUAUUCUUGCCAAACGAAAGAGACAGGAACCUUUAGGGGAAGGUGGCCAGCAGUAGGCUUUGCCAAUUGCUGGUGUUUAUAGCCCCUUUAGGAAAAUUUCUAACGUCGCGGCCCGGACUGAGGAAACGCAGCAGCACGCCUCUUUCCCUAUGGCUUCUUGCCGGAUGGAAGGGGAACCUUGCAGAGCUCUCGCUGUGGCGCCAGGCAACUAGGACUGAUUCUAAUAGGGUCAGUGUUGGAAGUCUAUCUGUGCGCUUCACCUUACGAGCAACGAGAGUCUACGCAUUAUACGUGCUUGUGAUGUUGGCGAAAUGGCUUUAUCUGACCCGUCUUGAAACACGGACCAAGGAGUCUAACAUAUACGCGAGUCUUUGGGUGGCAAACCCGCGGGCAUAAUGAAAGUGAAGGUGGGCCUUGUCGCACACCGAGGUGAGACGCUUCUUCUCUCGGGAAGGGGCCGCAUCAUCGACCGAUCCGGAAGGGCCGGCUGAGGUUCGCCUUGGUCUGGAUUUCUGAAAGAUUUGAGUAAGAGCGUAUCUGUUGGGACCCGAAAGAUGGUGAACUAUGCCUGAACAGGGUGAAGUCUGGGGAAACUCAGAUGGAAGCUCGCAGCGGUUUUGACGUGCAAAUCAAUCGUCGGAUUUGGGUAUAGGGGCGAAAGACUAAUCGAACCAUCUAGUAGCUGGUUCCCUCCGAAAUUUCCCUCAGGAUAGCUGGAACUCGAAAUGCAGUUUUAUCAGGUAAAGCGAAUGAUUAGAGGCCUUGGGGUCGAAAUGACCUCAACCUAUUCUCAAACUUUAAAUGGGUAAGAAGCGCGACUUGCUUAAUUGAAGCCGUGCCAACCGAAUGCAGAGUUCCAAGUGGGCCAUUUUUGGUAAGCAGAACUGGCGAUGCGGAAUGAACCGAACGCGAAGUUAAAGUGCCAAAGUUCACGCUCACCUAGAACCCAUAAAAGGUGUUGGCUGAUGAAGACAGCAGGACGGUGGCCAUGGAAGUCGGAACCCGCCAAGGAGUGUGUAACAACUCACCUGCCGAAUCAGCCAGCCCUGAAAAUGGAUGGCGCUCAAGCGUGACACUCAUACUUCGCCGUUGCCGCAAACAAGGUGCAUACUCUUUAUUUUGCCGCAACGAGUAGGAGGGCGUGGAGAUAAGUGAAGCAGCUUCGGGCGUGAGCCUGAGUGAAACUGUC
rnacentral:rRNA from 1 species